rnacentral:rRNA from 1 species
UACGGAGGGUGCGAGCGUUGUCCGGAAUCACUGGGCGUAAAGGGCGCGUAGGUGGCUCGUGAAGCGUGCGGUGAAAGUCCGAGGCUCAACCUCGGAUCGGCCGUGCGGACUCGCGGGCUCGAGCGUUGUAGAGGCGGGUGGAAUUCCGGGUGUAGCGGUGGAAUGCGUAGAUAUCAGGAGGAACACCUGUGGUGUAGACAGCUUACUGGACCAUUUCUGACGCUGAGACACGAAAGCGUGGGUAGCAAACAGG